GCCUUUUUCUAAUAAUAGGAAAACAAUCUCUAAGUGUUUUUAAUUGAAGUUGUUUUCACGGUUAAUUCUAAACUGCUGAAUAAUAUUACCACAUGUCUAUGUAUCCAUUUGGCACUGAGGCAUAUGAUGUUUCAGGGCAAUUUAACCAGUUCUGGGUGGAGGAAAAGUCCUUUGCAGUUUCCGUAUUCACUUGUUUAAAAUGUUGGUUGGUGCAUACAUGCUGGCCUUCCUUGUUCCCUUCCUUCUAGUGGAAAUGAAAAAUGAAUCUGUGACGAAAUAGCAGAUCUGUGCGGUUUGCUUCUCACACACAAACCUGCAUUAUUUUCCACCCACAGGAGCUGAGGGAUCAUGUUGUGCCAGAGCCACCUCUGCAGCCCCCUCGGCCACCUCAGCCCUGGGCAGAGGCUGAGCACAUCUGAAUAUUUCUAUUCAACUCUGCAAACAGACGGAGAUACUCCAAGAAGCCGAAAUGUUUUCAGCCAAACCGCUCUCUUGCCGGCAGCUUCGGAUGCUGUAGCGGGAACCAGAGCAGCCCAAGGAGAGAAGCAAACAAUUAAAACAUUUACAUGUUUGCUUCCUGAUAGACAUCUCUACAAGGUA
rnacentral:lncRNA from 1 species